rfam:Paenibacillus mucilaginosus 3016, complete genome.
AGGUAAUGUCUACUGCACCUUUAUCACUGUAGGCACUCGAUCAUGCUGUGGGCUCGGUGAGCCUUAGACGUCUAUCGUCGGUGGUGUGAUGUGAGGUUGGGUUGAAUGCCCU